UACGAAGGGGGCUAGCGUUGUUCGGAUUUACUGGGCGUAAAGCGCACGUAGGCGGAUCGAUCAGUCAGGGGUGAAAUCCCAGAGCUCAACUCUGGAACUGCCUUUGAUACUGUCGAUCUGGAGUAUGGAAGAGGUGAGUGGAAUUCCGAGUGUAGAGGUGAAAUUCGUAGAUAUUCGGAAGAACACCAGUGGCGAAGGCGACUUACUGGACACAUAUUGACGCUGAGGUGCGAAAGCGUGGGGAGCAAACAGG
rnacentral:rRNA from 1 species